UACAGAGGUCUCAAGCGUUGUCCGGAAUUAUUGGGCGUAAAGAGCUCGUAGGCGGUCUGUUGCGUCCGCUGUGAAAACUCGGGGCUUAACCCCGAGCCUGCAGUGGAUACGGGCAGACUAGAGGUAGGUAGGGGAGAAUGGAAUUCCCGGUGUAGCGGUGAAAUGCGCAGAUAUCGGGAGGAACACCGGUGGCGAAGGCGGUUCUCUGGACCACAACUGACGCUGAGGCGCGAAAGCUAGGGGAGCAAACAGG
rnacentral:rRNA from 1 species